GCGAGCGUAGUUCAAUGGCAGAAUACCAGCUUCCCAAGCUGGCUACGGGGGUUCGAUUCCCCUCGCUCGCUCCA
rnacentral:tRNA from 2 species